rnacentral:rRNA from 1 species
CCGGCGACCGGCGCACGGGUGAGUAACACGUAUGCAACCUGCCCGUCUCAGGGGGAUAAUCGUCGGAAACGGCGUCUAAUACCCCGUAUGAAGCUGGACGGCAUCGUCUGGUUUUGAAAGAAUAUCGGAGACGGAUGGGCAUGCGGCGCAUUAGCUAGUUGGCGGGGUAACGGCCCACCAAGGCGACGAUGCGGUAGGGGUUCUGAGAGGAACGGUCCCCACACUGGUACUGAGACACGGACCAGACUCCUACGGGAGGCAGCAG